rnacentral:tRNA from 1 species
AGAGGUGUAACUCAGUUGGUAGAGUGCUUACCUAAUAUAUAUAAAGCCUGGGUUCCAUCCCAGCACUGCGU